rnacentral:rRNA from 1 species
UGGGGAAUAUUGCACAAUGGGGGAAACCCUGAUGCAGCGACGCCGCGUGAGCGAAGAAGGUUUUCGAAUCGUAAAGCUCUGUCCUAUGGGAAGAUAAUGACGGUACCAUAGGAGGAAGCCCCGGCUAACUACGUGCCAGCAGCCGCGGUAAUACGUAGGGGGCAAGCGUUGUCCGGAAUCACUGGGCGUAAAGGGUUCGCAGGCGGAAAUGCAAGUCAGUUGUGAAAGGCAGAGGCUCAACCUCUGUAAGCAAUUGAAACUGUAUUUCUUGAGAUGUAGAGAGGCGAGGGGAAUUCCUAGUGUAGCGGUGAAAUGCGUAGAUAUUAGGAAGAAUACCGGUGGCGAAGGCGACGUGCUGGACACAAACUGACGCUGAGGAACGAAAGCGUGGGUAGCAAACAGG